AGCUGUACAAAUCACAGGACUUUUUUUUUUAAUUGGCAUAGACAUAUACAUUAUUCAUCUAUUCUGUUUUAUCUGAAGGGAAUCCAAUAAAGAAGCAAUUUUAUUUCCAAUGAAAUAUUUAAAGCUGCUUUUCCCCACAAGAGACCAGGCAGAAAACUCCAUGAUCUAUACGUCACAGCGGGCAGCUGAGCAGGAAGGACUGACUACCCGAGCAAACUCCAAGAUUUUUUGAGGCUGGGUUAACCCGACCCAUCAGUAGCUCUGAGACUUGGGAGAAAAAACUGUAACAGAUCAGCAAAAUGAAAUUGUGUAAGAAAAGAUGCUGGGAGUUCUGAGGUCUCAUGCAGAAAUCAUCAACUUAUAUACUAGCAAGUCUAAACCAAUGCCUUGGGGACAUUUUUGAUCCCCAAAUAAUAAUAGCAAUAUACCUUUCAGAUGUUUUAUUGUUAAAAUAAACCUUCUGAAGAUGAAUGAGAGAUCAAGAGGCAAGGAAACAGAAUUCAGUACUACCUAAAAUGCAGUCCCCCAUGCUUAUGUAUUUAAAAGUUUAGAAUGACAAAAUGUAAGGUCCACUGUUCUUACAUAUUUCACUUAGAUUUCCUAAGUUACAAUUAUGUAUUACAGUUUUGAAUAAGCUGUACUUUUGCUCUAUUCUUAUCAUUUAGUUCACUUUUCAUUGUAAUAAAAUAACUGAUAAAUGCUUAAAUCUCUGACAUGCUAAGAUGCCAAUCAAACACAAUAGCAAUAUCUGGCAUACACCUGGAAACUUUCCUAA